GCCCGCCUAGCUCAAUCGGAUAGAGCGUCAGACUCUUAAAUCUAGAUGGCGGAAUGUCAGAUAAGAAUAUCUGAAGGCUGCGAGUUCGACCCUCGCGGUGGGCU